rnacentral:lncRNA from 1 species
CCGACCACACCGUCUCCUCGCGUUUUCUCUCACGAGAGGAGAAAUCAGCGAAGAAAGCGCCGCCGCUUCACCCGCGUCGCCUCCUCCGCCGCCAUCCCUUUUCCUCCCUCUAACUCCCUAAUUCCGCCGAGCUUCUUUGCCGCAACCACCGUUCGUCGUCCAAGUUUCAUCGUCUGUUGGAUCCAGCGCCUCACAGGUGAGGAGCACUCCGACCUCUUCGGCAUCUCCGCCUCGACCGUGGGCUAGGUGUCAUCGCAAGCUGCCGGCGCUGGUUCAUCUCCGCCUGACGAUCUCGACCUUCCAGUCGUCUAUGGUGAGGUUCUGAUCGAUUCCGCUGGCCAUCGGUGCUUCCUCCACAUCCAGACCAUGACCCAUCAACUCUUGGACUGAUCCCAUAUCGGUUUGCCAUUCAUAAUAGUAGUUGACAUUAACAGCUCGAUGCAUUAUGGCAAACAAGAGCAAUUGUUUCUUUCGGAUGAAAAUGUGUUGUGGUACCUUUAUACAGACCUGCACAACAAGGGGAUAGCUUUAGCAGCAUCCAGUACUAGCUCAUGUGUAAAAUUGCUAUGGAUAAACGUUAUGAUGUGAUGUUUUUAUCGAGCUAAAGCACUACAUUUCUUUGCAACGCAAGUUCUAUUGAAGAGAUCCGUUUGUAUAUAUGUCAGACCACCUUCUAAUUGCGCUUUAUAACCACUUAGUUUCCCUAAUAUAAUCCACUGUACGUAUGCGCCACUUUUCUGUGGUUGCUAUUUUUGCUCAAGUGUACAUGAUCAUACAGAUAGCACUCCAAACAAACCGAUCAAAACAACUCAUAUUUGAACUUUGGUGGUAUGGUUCGAAUGU